UGAUAAUCAAAUUUUGAAAAUUGAGGACGUCGACAAUUAUAAGCAAAGUAUUGAUGCGGAUCAAGAGAGUGGAAGAUGGGACCAAUGCAGUGUAUCGUCUUACUACUCUGCUGAGAAAAUGGAAGAGAUCAUGGAUUCUCUUAAAUUGUUAGAAAAAGAAGAAGAAUUUCCACAAUUUGAAUCGAAAACACACAAAAGUGAAAAAUUGUUUGGAGAAUCUUCAAAUCAAGAAAUCGAGGACAAAUUAAACAAGGUCAUCCUAUUUUUGAACGAAUCUGAAAAAAACGAACGUCUCGGUCAACUUAACCAGGAAUUAGUAAAACGAAACCAAAACUUACAUCAAGAAAUAACUAGCAAUGCAAUGCAUGAAAAUGACUUACGAAUACAACAUGCAUCACACGCUGCUACUCAACUUUCCGAAUACUUGGCGAGGCAACUACACGAAAAUCAGGAGAAGGAAUC